rnacentral:piRNA from 1 species
CACAGAAAUGACCUACAAAGCC